CCUACGGGAGGCAGCAGUGAGGAAUAUUGGUCAAUGGGCUUACGCCUGAACCAGCCAAGUCGCGUGAGGGAAGACUGCCCUAUGGGUUGUAAACCUCUUUUGUCAGGGAGCAAUUGGCGCUACGUGUAGCGUUAUCGAGAGUACCUGAAGAAAAAGCAUCGGCUAACUCCGUGCCAGCAGCCGCGGUAAUACGGAGGAUGCGAGCGUUAUCCGGAUUUAUUGGGUUUAAAGGGUGCGUAGGCGGAAUGCCAAGUCAGCGGUAAAAUCGCGGGGCUCAACCUCGCUCCGCCGUUGAAACUGGGGUUCUUGGGGGGGAGAGAAGUAUGCGGGAUGCGGGGUGUAGCGGUGAAAUGCAU
rnacentral:rRNA from 1 species